GAUGAACGCUGGCGGCGUGCCUAAUACAUGCAAGUCGAGCGAACAGACGAGGAUCUUGCUCCUCUGACGUUAGCGGCGGACGGGUGAGUAACACGUGGAUAACCUACCUAUAAGACUGGGAUAACUUCGGGAAACCGGAGCUAAUACCGGAGAAUAUAUUGAACCGCAGGGUUCAAUAGUGAAAGACGGUUUUGCUGUCACUUAUAGAUGGAUCCGCGCCGCAUUAGCUAGUUGGUAAGGUCACGGCCUACCAAGGCAACGAUGCGUAGCCGAACUGAGAGAGUGAUAGGCCACACUGGAGCGGGGACACGGACCAGACGACUGAGGGAGGCAGCAGUAGGGAAUGGGCCGCAAUGGGCGAGAGCAUGACGGAGCAACGCGGAGUGAGUGAUGACGGUCUUCGGAUCGUAAAACUCUGUUACUAGGGAAGAACAAAUGUCUAAGUAGAUAUGCAGGGAGUGACGGUAACUAAUCAGAAAGCAACGGCUAACUACGUG
rnacentral:rRNA from 1 species